CCCAACUCCCUCUUCCCCUUGUUAGGGCUAUCGCCUCUGAAGAACCUUCCAUUUCUCUCCUUCUAGAUCUGCAUGCCUGUUGUGUGAGUGCUGGUUGUGAUCUAUGGCCAUAAAACUUGGCCUUGUACCUGUUCAGUCACUGUGGUACUCCUGCCUUGUGCUCUCCUUUCAGUGCUCUUUCAUGCAGGGGGAGGAUGGGCCUCGUUUCUCAGCCGUAGUGCUAGGCCACUAGUGAAGCGCUUAAACUUCCUAUGUGUGCGCCCUAAUAUCUCUUCUCUUUCCAGGGGGGCCCCUCCUUAGAGCAGAGGUUCGAGUCAUACUACAACUACUGCAAUCUGUUCAACUACAUCCUCAAUGCUGAUGGACCUGCUCCCCUUGAACUCCCCAACCAAUGGCUCUGGGACAUCAUUGAUGAGUUCAUCUACCAGUUCCAGUCAUUUAGUCAGUACCGCUGCAAAACUGCGAAGAAGUCAGAGGAGGAGAUCGACUUCCUUAGAUCCAACCCUAAAAUCUGGAACGUUCACAGCGUGCUCAAUGUACUUCAUUCUCUGGUAGACAAAUCCAACAUCAACCGGCAGCUGGAGGUGUACACAAGCGGAGGUGACCCCGAAAGUGUGGCUGGGGAAUAUG
rnacentral:lncRNA from 1 species